rnacentral:rRNA from 1 species
AGUGAACGCUGGCGGUAGGCCUAACACAUGCAAGUCGAACGGCAGCGCAGUAAGAGCUUGCUCUUACGGGUGGCGAGUGGCGGACGGGUGAGGAAUACAUCGGAAUCUACUUUUUCGUGGGGGAUAACGUAGGGAAACUUACGCUAAUACCGCAUACGACCUACGGGUGAAAGCAGGGGAUCUUCGGACCUUGCGCGAUUGAAUGAGCCGAUGGCGGAUUAGCUAGUUGGCGGGGUAAAGGCCCACCAAGGCGACGAUCCGGAGCUGGUCUGAGAGGAUGAUCAGCCACACUGGAACUGAGACACGGUCCAGACUCCUACGGGAGGCAGCAGUGGGGAAUAUUGGACAAUGGGCGAAAGCCUGAUCCAGCCAUACCGCGUGGGUGAAGAAGGCCUUCGGGUUGUAAAGCCCUUUUGUUGGGAAAGAAAAGCAGCAGGUUAAUACCCCGCUGUUCUGACGGUACCCAAAGAAUAAGCACCGGCUAACUUCGUG